GUCCUGGCAUGCUCCAGGCCACUAAACUCCUAAACAUUUUAUUGAUGUGAUAGGACGCUGAAUAUUUGUAGGAUUUGUCUCCUAUUCUCUGAUGUUCUGAGGAAUGUCCAGGUGAUGAAGACUGGACUCAAACAUCUGGCCUCAAGUGAUCCUCCUGCUUUGGCCUCCUAAAGUGUUGAGAUUACAGACAUGAAUCACCGCACUCAGCCUGAGACAUACUUCUUUAAUUCCUGUAACAUUAUUUUAUGCUUUGAUACCUGAUGGAUAAUGCAGGGCCAAGCUGCACCAUGUUCCUAAGAGAAAGCCAAGAACAUAAGUCACACAAGCCCUCAGGAAGAGAAGGAAAGAAUGAGUGACAGUAGACCGCAGAUGUGAGCAAAUUCAUGGAGGAUGGAAACUGAAUGAGGGAAUGGUGGCUGGCUUAACUUAACAGAGGAAAGUGCAUUCUAAAUACCUAUCAUAAAAGCAACAAAGAGAAUAAGCCUAUCCACUCCACACUUUGGAACUGCCUGUUUAAAAGUUGAUCCCCGGACCCCACCAAGUCUACAAGCUCCACCUCAAGGACAGAAUGGAAACUGUAUUCAUCGAGGGGCUUUUAAUUGACAAAUAAAAAUUGUAUAUAUUUAUCCAUGUAUAAUAUGAAGGUUUGAAAUAUGUAUACACUGGGGAAUGGCUAAAUCAAGCUAACUAACAUCUGCAUUACCUCACAUACUUAUUUUUUGUGGUGAGAACACUUAAAAUCUACUCUCUUAGUAAUUUUCAAGAGUACAAUAUAUUGUUAUUAACUAUAGUCACAAUGUUGUCUAGCAGACCCUUCUCAGAAUCUAACAAAAUGUUUGGCUAGUAAUAGGGGCUCAAAAAGUAUUUGUGAGUGAAAAGAGUGAAUAUAUUAAUUAAUUUGUUAAUGUAUUCACUGGCAGGUGUAUUUACCUAAUUCAGUCUUUAAAAUAAUGUUCUAUAUUCCAAGUUUUCCUUAGGGAGUUAACCCAAUAUUAUAGCUUGAUUGUUUACACAAGACCCAUAAAACAAACUAUAAUAGCAAUAGUCAACAAAGAGAUGAUAUUGGCAUAAUAUAAUGCUAUAUUGGUUUUAUUGUGCUGCCAUAACAAAUUACCAAAAAUUUAGUAUCUUAAAAC
rnacentral:lncRNA from 10 species